rnacentral:rRNA from 1 species
ACUCCUGCGGGAGGCAGCAGUGGGGAAUUUUGGACAAUGGGCGAAAGCCUGAUCCAGCAAUGCCGCGUGAGUGAAGAAGGCCUUCGGGUUGUAAAGCUCUUUUGUCAGGGAAGAAACGGUGAGAGCUAAUAUCUUUUGCUAAUGACGGUACCUGAAGAAUAAGCACCGGCUAACUACGUGCCAGCAGCCGCGGUAAUACGUAGGGUGCAAGCGUUAAUCGGAAUUACUGGGCGUAAAGCGUGCGCAGGCGGUUUUGUAAGUCUGAUGUGAAAUCCCCGGGCUCAACCUGGGAAUUGCAUUGGAGACUGCAAGGCUAGAAUCUGGCAGAGGGGGGUAGAAUUCCACGUGUAGCAGUGAAAUGCGUAGAUAUGUGGAGGAACACCGAUGGCGAAGGCAGCCCCCUGGGUCAAGAUUGACGCUCAUGCACGAAAGCGUGGGGAGCAAACAGGAUUAGAAACCCUAGUAGUCCCAU